ACGCUGGCGGUAGGCUUAACACAUGCAAGUCGUGCGAGAAAAUAUCUUCGGAUAUGAGUAGAGCGGCGGACGGGUGAGUAACGCGUAGGAAUCUACCUAGUAGAAGGGGAUAGCCCGGGGAAACUCGGAUUAAUACCGUAUACCUCCUUUGGGAGAAAGAAGGCCUCUCUUUGAAGCUUUCGCUAUUAGAUGAGCCUGCGUAAGAUUAGCUUGUUGGUGAGGUAAAGGCUCACCAAGGCGACGAUCUUUAGCGGGUCUGAGAGGACGAUCCGCCACAUUGGGACUGAGACACGGCCCAGACUCCUACGGGAGGCAGCAGUGGGGAAUAUUGGACAAUGGGCGCAAGCCUGAUCCAGCCAUACCGCGUGUGUGAAGAAGGCCCUAGGGUUGUAAAGCACUUUAAGUUGGGAAGAAAAGUUAUUGAUUAAUACCCAAUAACCGUGACAUUACCAUCAGAAUAAGGACCGGCUAAUUCCGUGCCAGCAGCCGCGGUAAUACGGAAGGUCCAAGCGUUAAUCGGAAUUACUGGGCGUAAAGCGCGCGUAGGUGGUUUAUUAAGUUGGAUGUGAAAUCCCCGGGCUCAACCUGGGAACUGCAUCCAAAACUGAUUCACUAGAGUACGAUAGAGGGAGGUAGAAUUCACAGUGUAGCGGUGGAAUGCGUAGAUAUUGUGAAGAAUACCAAUGGCGAAGGCAGCCUCCUGGAUCUGUACUGACACUAAGGUGCGAAAGCGUGGGUAGCGAACAGGAUUAGAUACCCUGGUAGUCCACGCCGUAAACGAUGUCAACUAGCUGUUGGAGAACUAUGUUUUUCAGUGGCGCAGCUAACGUAGUAAGUUGACCGCCUGGGGAGUACGGCC
rnacentral:rRNA from 1 species